UACAGAGGUCCCAAGCGUUGUCCGGAUUUAUUGGGCGUAAAGAGCUCGUAGGCGGUUCGGCAAGUCAGCUGUGAAAUCUCCACGCUCAACGUGGAGGGGUCAGCUGAUACUGCUGUGACUUGAGUCCGGUAGGGGAGUGUGGAAUUCCCGGUGUAGCGGUGAAAUGCGCAGAUAUCGGGAGGAACACCAGUAGCGAAGGCGGCACUCUGGGCCGGUACUGACGCUGAGGAGCGAAAGCGUGGGGAGCAAACAGG
rnacentral:rRNA from 1 species